UUUUAGGCGUAUUCAUUGAAAUAUUGAUUUAUAUGUAAAUUUGUGUGUUUUAGAUUUUCUUAAAGAAGGGCUUAAAAAUUAUGCAGUAGAUAAUUUUAUAAUAUUAAGUUAAUUUAGAUUUAGUAAAUAUUAAAAGAUUUGGUAAAAGUUGUGCCAGCAUCCGCGGUUAAACAACAAAAUCAAAUGAAUAUUUUUGGCUUAGAUAAUUAUCAUUAAUAGUAAUAUAAAAAUUGAAAUAUUUGAGGGUGAAAUAUUUUAAAUAUUUUGAAGUAUAUAUAGUUUAGUGUGAUUGUUAUGAAAAUGGAAAUAUAAACUAGGAUUAGAUACCCUAUUAUUUUUAUUGUAAAUUCAUAAGCUAGAGUAGUAAUAGUUAUGAUCUUUAAACUUAAAGAAUUUGGCGGUAUUAUAGUCUAUUUAGAGGAAUCUGUUAUGUAAUCGAUAACCCACGUUGAACCUUACUUAUAUAAUUUCUUGUAUACCGCUGUUUAAGAAUAUAUUUUUAGAUUAUUUUCUAAAUAUAAAAUUAAUUAAAAUUUCAAGUCAAGGUGCAGUGAUAUAUAAGUUGAAUAAUGGAUUACAAUAAAUUUUAUUUAUAUGGAUUAGUUAUUGAAAUAUAAUUUGAAGGUGGAUUUAAUUGUAAUUUUAUAAAGAUUGUUAAUGUGAUUUAAAGCUCUAUAAUAUGUACACAUCGCCCGUCACUCUCAUUUUAAAGUGAGAUAAGUCGUAACAAAGUAGAUGUAUCGGAAGUUGUAUCUAGAAAGAUAAUUAUUAAAU
rnacentral:ncRNA from 1 species